rnacentral:lncRNA from 1 species
UCAAAAGUCACAAAAAUAACACUUAAUGUUUUAUCAAAAGUCAUAAACUUAGGGUUUAGAGUUAAAAUGUGGGGUUUAUGAUUUAGGAUUUAGGGUUUAGAGUUUAGGGUUUAGGGUUUAGAGUUUAGGGUUUAGGGUUUAGAGUUUAGGGUUUAUGGUUUAGAGUUUAGGGUUUAAAAUUUAGGGUUUGGGGUUUAGAGUUUAGGGUUUAGGGUUUAGGGUUGAGAAAUGAGGUUUUGGGUUUAAGAUUUCAAAUUUUGAAAUAUAAAAAAAUUAAAAUUUUCAAAGGAUAAACUUAUAAAGAUGCUAUUUUGGUCAUUUUAGUUUUUGAUUGCUAUUUUUGUGAUAUA